rnacentral:rRNA from 1 species
UGAAUACGAGACGCUAAGGCGUCGAAGUAGUGUAUGUCAUACUUCCAAGAAAAGCUUGCACUGUCAUAGAUAAAAAACGCCUGUACCAUAACCGACACAGGUGGGUAGGUAGAGUAUACUAAGGGGCGCGAGAUAACUCUCUCUAAGGAACUCGGCAAAAUAACUCCGUAACUUCGGGAGAAGGAGUGCCUUAUUUAUAAGGCUGCAAUAACAAGAUCCAAGCAACUGUUUAUCAAAAACACAGGUCUCCGCUAAGUCGUAAGACGAUGUAUGGGGGCUGACGCCUGCCCAGUGCCGGAAGGUUAAAGAAGUUGGUUAGCUUUUGCGAAGCUGAUAACUGAAGCCCUGGUGAACGGCGGCCGUAACUAUAACGGUCCUAAGGUAGCGAAAUUCCUUGUCAGGUAAGUUCCGACCCGCACGAAAGGCGUAAUGAUUUGGAUACUGUCUCGGAGAGGGGCUCGGUGAAAUAGACUUGUCUGUGAAGAUGCGGACUACCUGCACCAGGACAGAAAGACCCUAUGAAGCUUUACUGUAACUUGAAAUUGAAAUUGGACUUUAUUCGCGCAGCAUAGGUGGGAGGCGUUGAUUAUAAUCUCGUGGGAUUAUUGGAGCCAUCAGUGAGAUACCACUCUUGUAAUGUUAGAUUUCUAACUUUGAAUCAUUAUCUGGUCAAAGAACAGUUUCAGGCGGGCAGUUUGACUGGGGCGGUCGCCUCCUAAACGGUAACGGAGGCGUACAAAGGUUUCCUCUGAACGGUUAGAAAUCGUAUCUAGAGUGUAAAGGCAUAAGGAAGCUUGACUGUGAGACCAACAAGUCGAGCAGGGACGAAAGUCGGUCUUAGUGAUCUGACGGUACUGAGUGGAAAGGCCGUCACUCAACGGAUAAAAGUUACUCUAAGGAUAACAGGCUGAUCUCCCCCAAGAGUUCACAUCGACGGGGAGGUUUGGCACCUCGAUGUCGGCUCAUCGCAUCCUGGGGCGGUAGUACGUCCCAAGGGUUGGGCUGUUCGCCCAUGAAAGCGGUACGCGAGCUGGGUUCAGAACGUCGUGAGACAGUUCGGUCCAUAUCCGGUGUAGGCGUUAGAAUAUUGAGAGGAGCCUUCUUUAGUACGAGUGGACCGAGAAGGACAUACCUCUGGUGUACCAGUUAUCGUGCCAACGGUAAACGCUGGGUAGCUAUGUAUGGAGUGGAUAACCGCUGAAAGCAUCUAAGUGGGAAGCCCACCUCAAGAUAAGUAUUCUCA